UUGAUUGCCGGUGGAGCAUCAUCAGGAUUCACAAGAUUUUGAAGGGUUUAAUUUGUUUUGAUUGUUUCAAAUAGAUUAGCCCUUUGACAUAUGAGAAUCCUGAUGAUGCUGCAGCUGCAAUUAA
rfam:Medicago truncatula strain A17 chromosome 5, whole genome shotgun sequence.